rnacentral:rRNA from 2 species
UGGCGCCUUCGGUGUCCGAGUUGUAAUUUGAAGAAGGUAACUUUGGUUUUGGCUCUUGUCUAUGUUCCUUGGAACAGGACGUCACAGAGGGUGAGAAUCCCGUGCGAUGAGAUGCCCAAUUCCAUGUAAAGUGCUUUCGAAGAGUCGAGUUGUUUGGGAAUGCAGCUCUAAGUGGGUGGUAAAUUCCAUCUAAAGCUAAAUAUUGGCGAGAGACCGAUAGCGAACAAGUACAGUGAUGGAAAGAUGAAAAGAACUUUGAAAAGAGAGUGAAAAAGUACGUGAAAUUGUUGAAAGGGAAGGGUUUGAGAUCAGACUUGGUAUUUUGUAUGUUUUACUCUCGGGUGAGGCCUCUGCAGUUUACUGGGCCAGCAUCAGUUUGGAUGGUAGGAUAAUGACAUUG